rnacentral:rRNA from 1 species
UGUGUAGGCGGUCCUGUAAGUCUGGUGUGAAAUCUCCCGGCUCAACUGGGAGGGUGCGCCGGAAACUGCAGGGCUAGAGUGCGGGAUGGGAGAGUAGAAUUCCUGGUGUAGCGGUGAAAUGCGUAGAUAUCAGGAGGAAUACCUGUGGUGUAGACGGCUCUCUGGACCGCGACUGACGCUGAGACACGAAAGCGUGGGUAGCAAACAGGAUUAGAUACCCUGGUAGUCCACGCCCUAAACGAUGCACAUUUGGUGUGGGUGAUUCAUUUCAUCCGUGCCGGAGCUAACGCGUUAAAUGUGCCGCCUGGGGAGUACGGUCGCAAGGCUGAA